CAGAGCUGAGUGUGACCCCAGAGCUGGGUGUGACCCCAGAGCUGGGCUGGGUGUGACCCCAGAGCUGGGCUGGGUGUGACCCCACACCUGUGCCCAGUCUGGCCCCACACCUGGGCUCGGUGGCCGUGGUGGCUGGGCUGUCCCAGCCCCUGCUGGUCCCAGGGCUGCCGGACGUUCCCCAGUGCUCCGAGCUGCCCACGGGCCCCACUUGGCAGUGCCGGCUCUGCGACUCUCAGAACUUACCAAAGUGGAAAUUUCCUCUGAUUAAAGCUAAACCCCUGAUAACCACCUGCAGGAAGAGCCUGACCUGGUUAAUUGAAACCAUUUAUUGCCUCUUUUGCUGCUGCAGUUCCCCAGAAUUCACACAGACUUUGACACCAGCUCUGUGGGAUUGGCUUCUGCCAAACACCACAAAUGAUACAAGAAAAACCAAAGAUCUUUUCCACAAUCAAAGAAGACAUUUUAGCUCCUGAAUAAAAGCUAAUGGCCUGAGAUGCCCUGAGAAGCACUGCUUUGUCAACUUCUUGUCCUCCUUUUCCAAUUCCUCUCACAUGACUCCUCUGGAAAUUUUGUUAACUGAGAUACUGUACGCAACAUUUUACGGGCUGUUAGCACUAAAGUAAAUUACAGUAAUUUUUGGUUCUUAUGUGGCAUUGGUAAUGGUGUGAUAGAAAAAUUAGUUACAUUUCUUAAUCCUACAUCUUGAAUUAUGGUGAUUUCAGAUUAAAUUUCGAGUCUCCCUUUUGUUUCCUAUAGCUCCUUUGAGAGAUUUAUCUAAUCAUUGUUUUCUGUUUUUGAAGGGUAGAGCUUUCUUCGUUUUGGUCAUCUGCUAAGGUGUGCUUGGCUAAAAUUAGGAUUGAUGAUACUUGGGAUAGCUAAACAGAGUACUUGAUUUAAUUUGCAGGUCCAGAUGAAGUGAGUGCCAGUAAAUACCAAAGGGUCAGGCUUGGCUGUGUGGUUUCUAUAGUGAGUUUGGAGAAAUGAUCCAUUUUUCAGUUGAGGUUUGUUGCAGGCAGUUGCAUUCAUUGAUUUGCAGGAUUUUAUCUCUCAGUGGUAGGCCUCUUUGGGACCACAGGGACACAUUUUUUGGCUAUUUAAAUCUUCCCAGUGACCAGUUCCCACCUGAAGUACUGGGAUUCGUUAAAACUCAUUAAACUAUUCAGUAAAAUCUAUCAACAACCUGCCAGAAAUAUUUUUAAGGAAGAAGAACAUCUGAGCAAUAUCUGUGGGUGUCAGUAAACAGGGAUAAUCAAAUAAAAUUAAAAGAAGAAAUCAUGUGGAUUACCAGGAAAUGGCUAUGUGGUGAAUUUGAUUAAGCUGUAUGGAUUAGCCUUUGUGUAUGAAUUUCUGUAUGUAAGUUUUACCUGUGGAUCUUUGCCAGUCCCCGGUGAAGUUGUUUAUGUCAGUCUAGUCUGACUUGCACAUAAAUAAAUUAAUUUGAUUUUGUUUCUCCGUGUUUAUUCAAAUGCUCUCCUAAAAUAAAACGUGUUGCUGUGGGGCUGGCAGUGAGACAAUAAAGGACAGAUGAAGUCAGGUAUUUAUCCUGGUGGGAACAGCAGGUCUCUGCUGUUCAGCUGUCUUGUAUUUUAGUAUUUUUUCUUUUACCUUCUUGCAGGGAUCUGUGUCUCAUACUACAGAAACAUUUGUGAUUUACUGCACUUCCAAGCCUUGUAUUUCCCUGUGAAUUUGAAGGAUAUUAGUAAAUAGAUGAUGUGGUGCAGCAGAGAGUUGUGUCCUGCCCAUCCCAGUGGGAGCAAAGCACCAGGUCUUCUCCAAGGUUUCUGUUGUCUAAAUGUGCUCUGGAAUCCAAGGAAAUGCCCCCAAAGACACAUUUUCCAAACAUGGUUCUCCACCUGAUGUUCUCCCUUUCUCAAUCUUCAGCUUUCAUUCAAAGUGUGACACGUUUCUUAACCUGCUCUCACUGAAAUAAAACUCAACACAAAGUGGUUUAUUUCACUUCAUACCUUCAAAUUAAAGGGGAAAUUGUGCUGAGGAUCUUUAAAGCUCAUUUAAUGACUCGGUGAUUAAAUGGACCCGUCGUUUUCUUCAAGUAAAAAAUACAGAAAUUAAGAGUAGUUGGGAAUUAAAAAUAUUUGGAUUCAUUAGUUUUUAAAAGUUUAGGAGAGCCUAUUGGAAUACAUGAAUUAUAUCUACAUUAUAUCCAAGAAAUGGUGGGGGGGAGCUUUUCCAUAGAUUUCAGUGUUCCUCUGAAGUUUUUUGAUUAAAAAUGUCUUUCAAUUCUCAGACUAUUUCUUUUAAAAAGGGUAAGGGUUCUAAGGUAGUAAGAGGCCUAACAAUAAGAGGAAAUGUUUGGACAAUUGUUUAAAGAGUGAAUUACUGAUCCAUAAUCUUGAGAUCUUUUUCUAGCCAAAAUAUUUAAUUUCUUGGAAUUUUAAUUUAAUUCCGAUUGUGUUUUCAAUUUGUUGUUUUUUGAUGCUCCCAGACACCUGUUUUUCAGUUUGCUCUUUUUUUUUUUUCAGGAAUAUCUGUUUGCUUCCAGUGAAAUUAAAAGUAUUGUACAAUAUUGUCUUCAGAAGUUUGAAAUUACAUAUUUUUGGGGUACUUCCAUGGUAAUUUUCAAUAUCCUGAUGCUUGGGCUUAAUUUCCAUUGAAAUUAAUUUGAUUUGAGGAUUCCCUUGAAAUACUACAGGUUUUUACAGGUUUUUGGCCUAAUUGCCUUGACCUGAUUCCCUUGAAUUUUCCAGUGAUCCCUUCUGUCAUUGUUGGUUCCAGUGCUGGUCGUGUUUUCUCCCCUUGUAGAGAAAAAACAGUCAGAGAUUGAUAAUCUCAGUGGGAAUCUGCCCGAGCAGAAUUAGUGUGUCUUCAAAAGGUGCUGCCAUUAAUGUGUUUUUAAAAUACACGUACAGGUCAGGUUUAUAUUUUGGAAUGGAGACAUUCUUGAGAGAAAGCAGGCUGUAACUCACUCUGUCUGUGACACACGCAUGGAAGUGUUCAAAACUGCUGAUGCUUUCGGGGAAAAAGGAACUUAGUGCAGUUCCUCAGCCUGCCUCUGUGUCUGGGUUUCAGGAGCCUGGGCAUGAACAGCCCUGUGUACGUUUCUAGAAAACAUCUCUGGUGUCCAGCAUAAGAGAUCAGCGUCAAUUUCAAACAGCUGGACAUAAACUUGGGGCAAAACCCCUGGGUUGACAUACAUAUAUAUAUAUAUAUGUAUAUAUGUAUAUAUGUAUAUGUUGGGGUUUUUUUUGCAAAAAAGGUGAACUUGUGUACAGGAGUAAAAGACCUGUUGUCUGUCCAGGGGGAUUAACAGCAGGGUUUUUUAUUGGAAUAUUUAGUGAUGACAAAUGGAAUUUUAUCCCUUUGACUCUGAAACUGGCCCCCCCCGAGCUUUCUUAAGGUGUUUCGUUAUGACAUCUGAUCUUGAGGUUAGUGCAGUGCCAGUAAUACUUGACAGUGGAUGUGUAAUUUAUUUAUUUAUAAAUCCCUUGCUUUAGUUGGAAAAGUAAAUAGUUCUGCUGCGUAUCACAUGCAGAGAGAUAAAGAUCUUACAUGGGAUUGAUGAAGAAAAAAAAGAAAUAUAGUGCCUACUCAGUUUACUGUUUUUCUUGUAUAGCUGCACCAAAAUAUGGCAAUAUUCUUUUGGAAGUGCUGAGUAAUCCUAAAAGACAAAGAUCAAAACGAAGCAAUUACUCCUUAAAAGCAAAACCAAAUUAAAUGUGCAGGGAAAGAUAUUUUGAAGGCUGUAUUUUGAACAUUGCACCUUAAACAUAACCUUGAAAACUGCUCGUUUACAACAUUUUUGUGUAGUGACUUUCUGUUCUUAAAUACCUUAAACCAAAAUAAUGGGAGUUCUUACACAGUCACUGCUUUUUGUGAAGCCACCACUCUUUGUUUUGAAGUUACUUUCAUUGUACGGCUUCACAGCAUUUUGCAGAGAAAAUGAAGACCAGAAGUAAAAAAACCUGAAAACCCCCUGGAGUUGUUUUUCACCUUUCCCAAGUAAGCAGUGCCCAGGGGCUGGGAUCCCUCUGCAGCUGUGGAACACCCCGAGCACCGGCCACGGCCGCUCCCAGCCCGUGGAGCUCCCCGGGCCGCCUGCAGGGGUUAACAUCUGGAACUGGGGUCAGCCUGACCGAGCUUUGCUGAAAAGAACAUCGGGGUGGCUGGGAAAUGUCAUGGAUUGAGGCUUUAAAGACAACACAAGAGCAUCUCUGCUCCACAAGUGGAACCACAGGAAGCUUCCGGCAGGUGGAAAGAGCCUCUCUCACACCAUACUUUGGACAAAUUUAGCUGUAUUGGAUUAAAUCGAAGUAACUGUUCCCAUUUUCUUGUACAGAGGCAGCCUGAGAAACACUUCUGAGUGAGUACCUUUUGCAAUGACUCAUCAUUUCCUGAGUAGUGAAUAAAAGCAUGUGCUUAUUUCCAUGUUCCCUCUGAGGGGGAAAAAAUAACUUUUAUUUAUUCAGCGUAACAGCAGCAAGAGAACAAAGCUUUUUCCUUUGAAGGUCACUUGUAACAGUAACACAAACAAUAAUAUAAACACUUCACACUACUUUGCAUCACAAUGAAUCACAAAAUACUGGUAACACUACUGAAAAACUUCCCUUUUCAAGACACUGGCCACUUCCCUCUGUUGUCUGAGCAUUUUGUGGAAAAAUUAUGGUUUUGUUUAAGGGAGCCAUAGUCCCAUAUACGUAAUUAAUUUUAAAAUCAGAAGAGCAUAAAUUGGGCCUUAUACCCUCAGCAAAGAUACUAGUUCAAACACCUGGUGAUAAUCAAUUUCUUCUAAAAAAGAAUUUGUAUUCUUUUAAAGAUGUAUUUGUAUUUUUUUAAAGAUGUUUUCCCCUUCAAAUAUUUAACUUCACUAUGAGAUGAACAGACGAGAACUUGCAAUUUCCUUUUAUAUUAUCAUGAAAACAUUUGGAAAGUGUAUUCUGUGCAGGGACUAAUUUGUACUCGGUUAAUACUGACAUGCGUUGUUCCACAUAAUUUCUGUAUCAUAAAAGUAUGUCCACAUAAUCCUUUUUCGUACCUGGUGUACACAGGGGCUGAUCCAGGAAAAUCUGAAGGAAAAGGCAGAACCUGAAUGGAAACAAAUACUCCCAAAUAGUUAUUUACAGAGAGUAUAUGUUUGUAAUCCCCUUUAAGUGGUUUAAUGUUUAGAAUCCCCAUUAAAUUGUUUUAUGGUGAUGAUCCCCAUUAAAUAUUUGUAUGGUUGUGAUCCCCUUCAAAUUGUUUGAUGUCUGUAUCUUCUUUGAAUUGGUUUAUGUUUAAGAUCCCCGUAGCACUGUUUUAUGCUUAAGAUCCCCGUUAAAUUGUCUCCUACUAAGUGCAAAGCAUUUAAUAAAUAGCAUUACAGGCUUUUGUUAGGCAACGUCA